AGAAAAUUUAUUACACAUAACACAGCAGAGGUUCUCCUUCUUUCUCUGUAACUUUCCAUAUGCUUAUCUUAUUUACGUAAUAAUUUAUCUGUUUGUUAGAAAUAUUUAUUUUGUAUAUGAGAAAAGAGCCAAACAUGUUGGGAGUCAAAUUGUAAUGUUUCAAAAAACAUUACAAUUUGACUCUUUAAUCAGUAGAAUUAUCUCUCGCGUGAAAGAGAGAGAGAUUACGUUUUAUGUGCGCACUAUAUUUAUCUGUUUAUUGAAACACGACAAUACGACGGCGUUUGGGCGCGGUGUUGAGCAAGAACGCGAUCGGGAAGUCGCUUUUACGCUCCCUUUCGAGCGAGAAUAAGAGGCGGCGCGGAGAGACACGGUCAUAUUUCGUCCCGUACAUACAAAAAUUCACACACAUAACAAAGUUGCGCGUGGCAAGUCAAGAGAUCGUGAGGGUGCGAGUCGAAGAGGUAUGAGAAGACUUACAUUUUCGUAUCUGAGCUAAAACCAAUUAAAUUCUACUUAAGCUCAAUCGAUAGCUGAAGGCUCAUUACGCAACAAAAAGCGUAUCGUAAAAAGCGUUCGCUCCGCUUCGGAUCUUGAAUUCUUCACUCAUCAGCCCAGUUGUUCGCAUUAAACAUUUUUAUUUUACUCGAACUCUUAUACUGUUAUUUUUUUACAAUAUCUGAGUUGUUAAUUUUUUUUUUUUUCUUACUUAUUUUCAAGAGAUAAGUUUUAGAAAUUGAAGAUGUUGUAGUUGUUACGCGACGUUAAAUUCUAAAAACUUAUCUUUUCAAAAUAAGAAAAAAUUAACGACUCAGAUAUUGUAACGCUCGCACUGGUGUGCGACUUGUUUGUGGCGCAGACGGUAUUUUUACGCUUCUCUGCGCUGCGCAGUCACAUGGUGUUCCACCGGGAAAGAAACCUUUGAGAGACACACCAGUAACCGAAAAAAAAAAAAAAAAAACAGCUAGAAUAACAAGAGGCAUCAAAUUUUGGUGUUAGAAGAAUCGUCACUUUUAUGCGUGUGCUAAGACUAUUGAUUUAUAAUUUAUUUUCCCAAAAAGUUUUCAAGAGACUGGACGCGAAGAAAAAAGAAAAAAAUGACGUUGUUUAUUCGCGACGAUAAAACAACGCGCGAAACAAAUGCGACGACGGCGAUUAAUCAAGCGAUCCAAGUCUGCAUUUCAAUCGAAAAUCACUUUCGCUCCAACGCAUCUGUGCGUCAUAUCCAAAGUCGCAGUUUAUUGUGUUCUUCGACUCACAAUGUGUAGAAGUAUAACUCCACGCACUUCAAAGAGAGUGAGAGGAAACACAAAGAAAAGUGUGUAAAGGAUAACUUCAAAGAACAUCGUGUACCGUGCGCUUUCAUCUGGGACGUGAAAAAUUGAAAGAAAAAUGGAAAAGCGCAUAAAAUAAGGAAGCAAGAGCAAAACAAUCCGGACUGUACCGGAGUAAACAUCAGCGAGUGUCAAGCGUGUUGUCGCGCUGACGUCGGAAGGACAAGUAACGCGCAAUCGACGAGAAAAAGAAAGGAAUCAUUACCAGAAAAGGGUCUGUAGCCGGCGAGGAACCUUGCUCGCCACCACUUUACCAAUCCGGUAGCCAUGGGAUCUUCAUGCGUGCGUGCGUGCGUUCCUUCCCUCGGUCGUCGUGCAAAUCCUUUCUUCUUUCCCGUUUUGCUUGCUCCGAACCGACGGUUCUUCCUUUGCGAGCACUUCUGUUCGCUCUUCCGCACCCACUAACUGUACUCGCGCCGUUCCGAAACCGCACUGGAUUAUGUAUCCAUGAUUCGUCUCUCUCCCUCUUUCUCUAUGUGCAUUCAGUCAGACGCCCAGCUGCGAACUCUCCCCGCGAACAGAUCCUGUCCCCGGCACCGCGGUCGAUCUGCCGCUCUCCGCGAUCCGGAAACGGCGCGAGACACUCUUCGAGGGUCGUCUUCGACGCUCCGUGUAUCAUUGAAAUUCCCGAACGAGGGUCACAACUCGCGCGUAUGUAAUGUACACACGCGUCGUAUAUAUACAACACAGGAUCGCCGCCCGCUUCCGCCGUCGCGCACUGUACACACGUGCUCUCUCGUGACGGAGAGCCCGCCGUCGAGCAAAACUUGAACGACGAGAGAGAAAGAGAAAGAUAACCGUUUUAUACAACUUCAAUCUCUCUCUCUCACGACAUUUCUCCGGAAUCGCCGCGCGAUGACGAUUCCGCCGAUGGAAGGACCCCGUGUUCUCGUCGCUUGUGCAUCGGAGCUUAAGCGAGAGAGAUGACAACCAGGAAGGAGGGAGGGGAGAGAGAGAGAGAGAGAGAGAGAGAU